GGANNNGGGNUGCCUAUACAUGCAAGUCGAACGAAACUUUCUUACACCGAAUGCUUGCAUUCACCGUAAGAAGUUGAGUGGCGGACGGGUGAGUAACACGUGGGUAACCUGCCUAAAAGAAGGGGAUAACACUUGGAAACAGGUGCUAAUACCGUAUAUCUCUAAGGAUCGCAUGAUCCUUAGAUGAAAGAUGGUUCUGCUAUCGCUUUUAGAUGGACCCGCGGCGUAUUAACUAGUUGGUGGGGUAACGGCCUACCAAGGUGAUGAUACGUAGCCGAACUGAGAGGUUGAUCGGCCACAUUGGGACUGAGACACGGCCCAAACUCCUACGGGAGGCAGCAGUAGGGAAUCUUCCACAAUGGACGCAAGUCUGAUGGAGCAACGCCGCGUGAGUGAAGAAGGUCUUCGGAUCGUAAAACUCUGUUGUUAGAGAAGAACACGAGUGAGAGUAACUGUUCAUUCGAUGACGGUAUCUAACCAGCAAGUCACGGCUAACUACGUGCCAGCAGCCGCGGUAAUACGUAGGUGGCAAGCGUUGUCCGGAUUUAUUGGGCGUAAAGGGAACGCAGGCGGUCUUUUAAGUCUGAUGUGAAAGCCUUCGGCUUAACCGGAGUAGUGCAUUGGAAACUGGAAGACUUGAGUGCAGAAGAGGAGAGUGGAACUCCAUGUGUAGCGGUGAAAUGCGUAGAUAUAUGGAAGAACACCAGUGGCGAAAGCGGCUCUCUGGUCUGUAACUGACGCUGAGGUUCGAAAGCGUGGGUAGCAAACAGGAUUAGAUACCCUGGUAGUCCACUCCGUACACGAUGAAUGCUAGGUGUUGGAGGGUUUCCGCCCUUCAGUGCCGCAGCUAACGCAAUAAGCAUUCCGCCUGGGGAGUACGACNUCAAGGUUGAAGCUCAAA
rnacentral:rRNA from 1 species